rnacentral:rRNA from 1 species
GAUGAACGCUGGCGGCGUGCCUAAUACAUGCAAGUCGAGCGAACAGACGAGGAGCUUGCUCCUCUGACGUUAGCGGCGGACGGGUGAGUAACACGUGGAUAACCUACCUAUAAGACUGGGAUAACUUCGGGAAACCGGAGCUAAUACCGGAUAAUAUAUUGAACCGCAUGGUUCAAUAGUGAAAGACGGUUUUGCUGUCACUUAUAGAUGGAUCCGCGCCGCAUUAGCUAGUUGGUAAGGUAACGGCUUACCAAGGCAACGAUGCGUAGCCGACCUGAGAGGGUAAUCGGCCACACUGGAACUGAGACACGGUCCACACUCCUACGGGAGGCAGCAGUAGGGAAUCUUCCGCAAUGAGCGAAAGCCCGACGGAGCAACGCCGCGUGAGUGAUGAAGGUCUUCGGAUCGUAAAACUCUGUUAUUAGGGAAGAACAAAUGUGUAAGUAACUAUGCACGUCUUGACGGUACCUAAUCAGAAAGCCACGGCUAACUACGUG